rnacentral:rRNA from 1 species
UAGGGAAUCUUCGGCAAUGGGGGGAACCCUGACCGAGCAACGCCGCGUGAGUGAAGAAGGUUUUCGGAUCGUAAAGCUCCGUUGUUAAGGAAGAACGAGUGUGAGAAUGGAAAGUUCAUGCUGUGACGGUACUUAACCAGAAAGGGACGGCUAACUACGUGCCAGCAGCCGCGGUAAUACGUAGGUCCCGAGCGUUGUCCGGAUUUAUUGGGCGUAAAGCGAGCGCAGGCGGUUAGAAAAGUCUGAAGUGAAAGGCAGUGGCUCAACCAUUGUAGGCUUUGGAAACUGUUUAACUUGAGUGCAGAAGGGGAGAGUGGAAUUCCAUGUGUAGCGGUGAAAUGCGUAGAUAUAUGGAGGAACACCGGUGGCGAAAGCGGCUCUCUGGUCUGUAACUGACGCUGAGGCUCGAAAGCGUGGGGAGCGAACAGG